UGGGGAAUAUUGGACAAUGGGCGAAAGCCUGAUCCAGCCAUGCCGCGUGUGUGAAGAAGGUCUUCGGAUUGUAAAGCACUUUAAGUUGGGAGGAAGGGCAGUAAGCGAAUACCUUGCUGUUUUGACGUUACCGACAGAAUAAGCACCUGCUCACUCUGUGCCAGCAGCCGCGGUAAUACAGAGGGUGCAAGCGUUAAUCGGAAUUACUGGGGGUAAAGCGCGCGUAGGUGGUUCGUUAAGUUGAAUGUGAAAGCCCCGGGCUCAAACUGGGAACUGCAACCAAAACUGGCGAGCUAGAGUAGGGCAGAGGGGGGUGGAAUUUCCUGUGUAGCGGUGAAAUGAGUAGAUAUAGGAAGGAACACCAGUGGCGAAGGCGACCACCUGGGCUCAUACUGACACUGAGGUGCGAAAGCGUGGGGAGCAAACAGG
rnacentral:rRNA from 1 species